rnacentral:rRNA from 1 species
UUAAGCAUAUUAAUUAGGGAGGAAAAGAAACUAACAAGGAUUUUCUUAGUAGCGGCGAGCGAAAAGAAAUCAGUUCAGCACUAAGUCACUUUGUCUAUAUGGCAAAUGUGAGAUGCAGUGUAUGGAGCGUCAAUAUUCUAGUAUGAGAAAUUAACGAUUUAAGUCCUUCUUAAAUGAGGCCAUUUACCCAUAGAGGGUGCCAGGCCCGUAUAACGUUAAUGAUUACUAGAUGAUGUUUCCAAAGAGUCGUGUUGCUUGAUAGUGCAGCACUAAGUGGGUGGUAAACUCCAUCUAAAACUAAAUAUAACCAUGAGACCGAUAGUAAACAAGUACCGUGAGGGAAAGUUGAAAAGAACUCUGAAUAGAGAGUUAAAUAGUACGUGAAACUGCUUAGAGGUUAAGCCCGAUGAACCUGAAUAUCCGUUAUGGAAAAUUCAUCAUUAAAGUUAUAAUAUUUAAACAAUAUUAUACAAAUAAUGUGCAUUUUUUCCAUAUAAGGACAUUGUAAUCUAUUAACAUAUUAAAUUUAUCAUAAAAUAUGGCUUAUAGUUUAUUCAAAUUAUUAUGCUUGCAUUUUAACAUAGAAUAAAUGUCAUUAAUUUGAUAAAGUGUUGAUAGACUAAUAAGAAUACAGUGCGUUAAUUUUUCGGAAUUAUAUAAUGGCAUAAUUAUCAUUGAUUUUUGUGUUUAUUAUAAGCACUUGUAUGAUUAACAAUGCGAAAGAUUCAGGAUACCUUCGGGACCCGUCUUGAAACACGGACCAAGGAGUCUAACAUAUGUGCAAGUUAUUGGGAUAUAAACCUAAUAGCGUAAUUAACUUGACUAAUAAUGGGAUUAGUUUUUUAACUAUUUUAUAGCUAAUUAACACAAUCCCGGGGCGUUCUAUAUAGUUAUGUAUAAUAAUAUUUAUAUUAUUUAUGCCUCUAACUGGAACGUACCUUGAGCAGAUAUGCUGUGACCCGAAAGAUGGUGAACUAUACUUGAUCAGGUUGAAGUCAGGGGAAACCCUGAUGGAAGACCGAAACAGUUCUGACGUGCAAAUCGAUUGUCAGAAUUGAGUAUAGGGGCGAAAGACCAAUCGAACCAUCUAGUAGCUGGUUCCUUCCGAAGUUUCCCUCAGGAUAGCUGGUGCAUUUUAAUGUUAUAUAAAAUAAUCUUAUCUGGUAAAGCGAAUGAUUAGAGGCCUUAGGGUCGAAACGAUCUUAACCUAUUCUCAAACUUUAAAUGGGUAAGAACCUUAACUUUCUUGAUAUGAAGUUUAAGGUUAUGAUAUAUUGUGCCCAGUGGGCCACUUUUGGUAAGCAGAACUGGCGCUGUGGGAUGAACCAAACGUAAUGUUACGGUGCCCAAAUUAACAACUCAUGCAGAAACCAUGAAAGGCGUUGGUUGCUUAAAACAGCAGGACGGUGAUCAUGGAAGUCGAAAUCCGCUAAGGAGUGUGUAACAACUCACCUGCCGAAGCAACUAGCCCUUAAAAUGGAUGGCGCUUAAGUUGUAUACCUAUACAUUACCGCUAAAGUAGAUGAUUUAUAUUACUUGUAAUAUAAAUUUUGAAACUUUAGUGAGUAGGAAGGUACAAUGGUAUGCGUAGAAGUGUUUGGCGUAAGCCUGCAUGGAGCUGCUAUUGGUACAGAUCUUGGUGGUAGUAGCAAAUAAUCGAAUGAGACCUGGAGGACUGAAGUGGAGAAGGGUUUCGUGUGAACAGUGGUUGAUCACGAGUUAGUCGGUCCUAAGUUCAAGGCGAAAGCCGAAAAUUUUCAAGUAAAAAUAAAAUUUACUAUAUGUAAAAAUUAUAUACUUGAAUAAUUUUGAACGAAAGGGAAUACGGUUCCAAUUCCGUAACCUGUUGAGUAUCCGUUUGUUAUUAAAUAUGGGCCUCGUGCUCAUCCUGGCAACAGGAACGACCAUAAAGAAGCCGUCGAGAGAUAUCGGAAGAGUUUUCUUUUCUGUUUUAUAGUCGUACUACCAUGGAAGUCUUUCGCAGAGAGAUAUGGUAGAUGGGCUAGAAGAGCAUGACAUAUACUGUUUGUCGAUUUUUUCUCCUCGGACCUUGAAAAUUUAUGGUGGGGAUACGCAAACUUCUCAACAGGCCGUACCAUAUCCGCAGCUGGUCUCCAAGUUGAAGAGUCUCUAGUCGAUAGAAUAAUGUAGGUAAGGGAAGGUCGGCAAAUUAGAUCCGUAACUUCGGAUAAGGAUGGCUCUGAAGAUUGAGAUAGUCGGGCUGAUUGGGAAACAAUAAUAUGGUUUAUGUGCUCGUUCUGGGUAAAUGAGUUUCGAUCAUUUAUGGUUGUAACUUGUUCCCCGGAUAGUUAGUUACGUAUCCAAUUGUGGAACUUUCUUGCUAAAAUUUUUAAGAAUACUAGUUGGGUCAAACCAAUUAGUUCUUAUUAAUUAUAAUACGAUUAUCAAUUAAAAUCAAAUCAUUCAGAACUGGCACGGACUUGGGGAAUCCGACUGUCUAAUUAAAACAAAGCAUUGU